CAGAUUUUGAAGCCAUGGGUUUGGAUGUUCCAAGGUACUUCUAGCCAACAAGUUAUAUACCUACAACAGUAAAUAGAAUAUGACAAUUCUAUAAAAUAUGUCAUUGUAAGGUUGAAAGUAUUUCUGUCUCUCACCUAUAUAUAUUUAGAUGCCACUAAUCUUAGCAUCAAUUAUGAAAGUCUGGAUUAUUUAGAUCCUAGAUUAUGAUGUUGCCGAUGAUGAGGCUUAGGAGCUAGCUAGGUUAAUCUGUGUGAUGUUACAAUGGAUUCAUAUUAAUUAUGAUGUUUUGAAUUGUAAUGACUUGGUAUUUUGCUUGAAUGUUGAAUUAACAUUUUGGAUGAAUGACUUGGUAUUUUCCUUGAAUUGUAAUGACUUGGUAUUUUGCUUUAAUGACAUUUGAUCAUAUUAUGUAA
rnacentral:lncRNA from 1 species